rfam:Ipomoea nil DNA, scaffold: scaffold1769, cultivar: Tokyo-kokei standard.
GGUCACGUGGCCUAAUGGAUAAGGCGCUCGCCUCCGGAGUGAGAGAUUAUGGGUUUGAGUCCCACCGUGAUCG